CCCUACCUACGUGACCCUGAAACGCCAGUACACAACCACUACCAUCGUUGCCAGUGCCGUAUCUGCCGUCACUACCGCUCCCGCCCCCCCCCCUCCCCCUGCCGCCCACCAAACUCCGCCCGCCUCUGUCCCUUCUCCCUUCGCCAAAGAUGGACUUCCUUGAUGACAUUCUGUUCCACCCCAUCGUGGCCUUCACCAAGAACAGCCGCAUGCUGGUACGCAAGUGCCAGAAACCGAACUACAACGAGUUCACGACGGCUGCCAUCGCAGCGUUGAUCGGCUUCUUCAUGAUGGGCUUCCUCGGUUUCUUUGUUAAGCUGGUGUUCAUCCCGAUCAACAACGUCAUUCUUGGUGCGUAAGGCGCGACUCACGUGUGUACGUGUGCAUCGACGUGUUCGGUGCUGCUGCGUUGGUGGGGAAUUGUCAUUGUUGCCGUUGCUCGAGUGCUUCGUCGCAUUCUACGAAGACCAGCACGAAGAGCUCCCAGCGACAUCCUUUGGCCCCCACUAAUCGGCCUUGUCUCCCCUUUCCCCGCUUUUUGGCGUUUUUCUGCUCGUACACAGUGACGCGGCGGCGGUAGUGUUUCAGUGUGCGACCUCGCCGCACGGUGUGUAUGUGUGUACGUGCGUGUGUGCCAAAGUCAGGAAGAGGAAGAGGAAGAGAAGGCAGCGGAGGAAUAGAGAGUAUGCACAAGUAGUGUGGGGCUGGAGGCCGCCAUGCAUGGAAAAGGCAGGCACAGAGACUUUCUAGGGAGACGCACGAGCUCAUGCUCGUGCACACGCACGCACCGUCACUGCCGCCCGCCUCGCUCACCCUCGUUUCUUUGGGCUUUCUUUCAUGUGCAGAUAGGCUUGUGACAGCAGCAGUAGCGGUAGCAGCAUCGCUGUGCGCGUGCGUACGGCUGUGUGUACAUGUAUAUGUCAAGGUGAUGACCGAAAGCGGUGCUUCCACUUCGUCUGUGUAUACAUGUGUGUGUGCGUGUGUGUCUCCGAGCAGUGUAUCCUCUUUUUUGUCCGCCAGCCGUCCCACCUCCACGCUACUGGCCCCUCCCUCACUCUCUGGGACAGACAGCUCUGGUUCUUCGUGCGCGUAUGUGGUGGCGUAUGGUGCUCUGAGGCGUUGGGUGCGUGUCUUUUCCUAAUAACAUGCACAUACAAGUAUGAC
rnacentral:misc_RNA from 1 species